GAACUGCGAGCGGCGGUUCUCCGGGGGGGAAAGGAGGGGGCCGAGCGCUUCCUUUUUUCCUCUGUACGCCUCUGCUCAGUCUGUCAAAACAAGCCUUUACUAAAUGUGCCACUUUAAAAGGUUAUGGAAAAUGGGAAUCAAGGCCCUGAAGUGCUACGCCUGCUUUUUCACGGACUGAGCACCACUCUGAACCUCCGGGGCCGUCCCGUAGACGCUGAAGUACUCCAGGAUGUCGUGGCGCAGGAAACAGAGAACCGACAGGCCGGGCCCGUUGCAGGCGUGGUAGAGCUGCCGGGAAACCCACAGACGGUCGGUCAGCAGGGAGAGGAGAGCUCUGGAGGCCCGGGGCCAUGCCUGGGCCCCGAGCCACGGCCCCGUGAGCUGGGACCUCGGGCAAGUCACCGAAUGGCCCCAUGGCUCUUUUCCCCAUCUGAAACGUGGGGACGCAGUGGACUACUCCCCCAUAGGGUCUUGCGGACGAAGCCCGCCGAGCUCAAGGGCAUAAACAAGCUUGGAGCCCAGCACAGGCGACGCUUGGUUAGCCCAGCUCAGCUGGGUGGAGAGGCAUGCGGGACAGCAGCCCACAUCUGGAGGCGCCAGGGAUGCUACGGUGCAGGGGUGGUGAGAGCCCCGGGUCGUCUGGUGAGUCGAGCAAGUUGAGGUCGAUUUAGAGCUUCCACUGGCUGCAACUUCAUGGGAACUAAAGCUCAGGUGCACCGAGGAGGCAUUAACAGAGAUGUAGCGUCCAGAACAGGGGAGGACACGGUACUGCUCCUCUCUGUCUGGUCAGACCCCCCCCCAGAGAGCUGUGCUGAGCUGCGGAAGCUGCACCCUUUGAAGUGCCGCUGGCAGGGAACAGGUUGGGGGAAAGGGAUCAGGCCGUGGAUGUGACCGUUUAGCUCAGCAAAGAGGAGCUUCAGGUGGGGCGCGAUCAAGGUGCUCACAUCUCCAGGAGAGAGGAGGGAGAAGAACACGUGUUCCCCGUGGCUCCGGCAGGCAGAGCCAGGCCCUGUGAGUGACACGGAUUCUCUUCUCCUGCCCUCCGGCUCCUUCCAGAACUACCUCUCCCCCACCCCCAGCUGAGCCCUGCUGUCUCUGUACCCAUUGUCUCUCUUACAUAGCACAGAUGGCGAUGUACGAUUAAAGGCUUCAUCACUCUGAGAUUCUGGACGCGGUCUGUGCCCUGUCACCCGCCUCGUCCCAGCCUAGAGCUGGCUUACCAUCGGCCAAGUGUUUGCCUGUGAACGCAGCGUCAGGGAGGCUUUGGAGCGGUUUGAAGGAGAGCUGGCCCAGGAGGGGCCUUUCCCCCCAGGCCCUCGGUUCACCCCUGCUGGAGAGGUGGGGCAGGUCAGAGCUGUUGAUUCAAGGAGACCGUCCGUCUUUUCUCCGAGGCAGCAACUUCGGAGAAGAGUCCCCACGAGCACAAUCGCCGAUGUCCAGCCACUUUCCAUCCUGGCCCCUGGCCCCUCCCCGAGGUGCUCCGGCGUCCAGAAUAAGAAGAGAGCAGACUCUGCUGCUUGAGUCUCGCGUCCACAGGAGGCAAGAGCAAAAGGAUAGCUUUUAUUCCGUUUUGGUUUUCAUCAUGAUAUAAUGGUGUUGCCUACAACAAAACGCACAGAUUUAUCAUGUACAGUUCGAUGAGUUUUGACAUGUGCUGUGUGACCAUCCCUGCGUCCCCGUGACUCCAGGACAGCCCUCGAGGCCCCAGCAGAGGCAGCCCCUGUUCAGGUUUCUGCCACACGCUUGACUUUGCCUGUAUAAAUGCACUCACGCGGUGUGCACUCUUUCGGGCUGGCUUCUCUCACCGCCCCGGAAUGUCCCUGAGAUUCAGCCACGUUGUGUCCAGUGGCUUGUUCCUGUGGUUGCUGGGUGGCUACGCCGGAGUUUGUUCUCCUGGGAAUUGGAAUCUGGAGUAUGGGAACAGCGGGGGCGAGGCCAGGAGGUGCCCAUGCAUGUCGGCGCCUCAAGGAGAGGCUGCCGGCUUGUCCCACACCCCCUGGGCCCGCUUGACCCACCUUUCCUUCCAUCUGGGAGCUCCCUCACACCUUUCCAGAAGUCUCUUUUUUUUUAUCAUACGUUGGCUGGGGGACAUUUCU